rnacentral:lncRNA from 1 species
AUGCUUAAGAUUAAACUAUUACAAAAUACUAAAGAAAUGAAGGAAACAAGGAAAAUAAAACUCGAUAAUAGCUUGUAUUCAAUCAUGUUUAGCAUUCGAAUUGCAGAUUUACACUUCACAUGUUGUCCAUAGUUCAAAAAAUACCUGGAAGUCAAAGAAAAAUAAGGAGAAUGAGGGAUUAGCAGCAUCAACAAAAUUAGUUAAGCAAACCAGCAACAAAAUCAACUUCGUUCAAACCAGUAUGGACCCAGAUGAGCACCAAUCUUUGGAGUUUUUUCAGAAAUUCUAACUAACUAUGACGUUUAAAGGCAGAGUCAAAGCCAAUUUCAACCCAAAAAAGUGCAGGGAAUUUCAGUGUUCUUUCAAGGUUUUAAGACUCAACCGUUUUUCAGUUUUUGGUAUUGUAUUUCUCUAAAAUCUGACUUGAGAAUGACGUAACAGGCCUUUUAUAGAGGCUUUUCAGGGCUGCAGAAAUGAACUUCAGUUUUUGCUUAUUACUCCUUUUUUAAUUUUUAUUUUUGCUAGUUAGUCCUUGAUUUUAAAAUCUAUUUUUUAAACUAGUCCCAACCCCACUUUCCUAGCAGCUUCCCAAUCAGUUAUACCAGAUUCCCCUUACUUAAUUUCCCUAAACUACCCUUGUAACCCUAUUAUUUACCCUUAGAACUAGAUACGGGUCAAGUUAACCCAAAUAUCAAUCCCAAAUCAGGUUUGCGAACCCGGCCUAAUUCCCCUCCUUGGGCCUCUGUUGACAGAGCCCAAAUCCCAUUCAAAAACAAAACUCACAAAGUUAAUGGGCUAAACGGAGUUGCCAAAAACCAGAAAACUUUCGAAAUGAAACCAAAAACAAAAACGAGAAAGAAUUAAUUAAAACUAAGUAUGAGAAUCGCAACUAACAUGCUUUUAACCUAAUCAUGCAAACAGAAACUGAUUCAAAAAUGAAAAAUAAUAAAGAAAAGAAAGAUAAAAUAGAAGGAGAUGAAGACGGGGAGAAGAACAAAAGAACGGAAAAAAUAAGAACGAGGGUACCUACAGAAGACAACAAACGAAUCAUGCCUUGAAAAAACUCUGAUUUUUUUUUAUUUUGAGCUGAAAUUGGCCUCAAUCACGUGUUCUUGUUAAGAACAAACGAGCAAGGCCAGUUUUGACUCUUAAUCACUUGUCAAAACUGGAAAAACUCGGGUGAUUUUUGUCUUUUGCUUUUCUUUUUCAGAUUCAAGAUGGGUUUCGUUUGGUGAGGAUUUGAAAGAAUAUGGGGUAGAUUAGGAAUCAGGGGUAAGUGAGGUUUGUAUGGUCGAAGUUUGGAGAGGAUUCGGAGUUGUUUUGCCGGUAAAAAUGGCGGAAUUCUUCAGGCGGCACUAGGGUUCAAUGAGAGAGAUGAGAGACAGAAGAAGGGGUGUUUGGACUAGGUUGUCUGAUGGGGGUUUGGACAUUUGGGCUAAUACAAAUUGGCCCAAAUCAACAAUUCUUUUGAUUUUCUUUUCUUUUCUCUUUCAAUUUCAAAUUUUCUUUUUCUUUUUUUCAAGUUAAUUUAAAAACCUAAAUUAACUUUUCAAAAUAAAUUAAAUCUACCAAAUUAAACUAAUUACUAGUCAACGUAUUUAUAAAAAAAAUUAAAUAACUCCUAGAUUGAAGGAAAAACUAUAAAAUUCAAAAAAAAAAGUUAAAAAAAUGCAAAGUGAGUUAAUUUUUGUGUUUUUGUCUAUUUUUGUAAAACGACAAAUUUACUAAUUAAUCUAAAAUGCAAAAUUAAAUACUAAAUUCAAAUGCAAUGUAUUUUUGUAUUUUUCAUGAAUUAAAUAAAAUUAAACAUGCACAGAAAAAAAUGCAAAUAAUUAAAAAAAUUCUACAAUAAUACCUAAAAUAACAAAUAAUUAAAAGAAAAAUCUAAUUCUUUGGGAUUCUGUUGGAGUAAUUCAUGUGGGGCAAAAAUCACGUGCUCACAGCUGUCCCUCUUUGCUCGGAGAUACGAAGGGUUUUCGGGCAAAUAUAAAAUGAGCAAUUAUGAGGGAUUUUUGCCCAUCUGAAACUCCAUGAUAAGCAUUUUCAAAAUAAACUGACCGAACCUUACUUUAGAGGUUGCCUACAUAUCCUUGGCUAUAAAGGAAUCAGGUCAGUGUAGUUCUGGAAGUUUUGGUAGCUGGGACUACCAGGAAGCUGUGAUUUCACUAUUGCUGCUGUGGCUACUACUUGCUGAACUCCUUUUUACACCAAAAUGAAAAAUAAAAAGCUAAACUAGCUAAGCCUAUCAACUACGAGUUACAAGAUUCCUAUCUAUAAAUCUUCUGAAGCUUGAUCUUGAGUCUUGGAUGGUUCUUGCUGUAGACUCCGAUUUGAAUCUUGAUGCUCGUCAGCUGUAACCGUUGGUUCAUUCUUCAUCUUUGGAUCAAGGCAGGACAUGCGAAACUUGUGACUUCAAUCAUAUCUUGAGCAUUUCGCAUCUUUCUCCGCUUCAGCACUUUGAGUUCACUUCUUUUUUGCUCUUUUAUUCUUUUCUUUAUUCUGGUUUGAGACUCAUUCAUUUGGUUGUCUCGAACCUUGUGCCUCGAGUUAAAACCUGCUCAGACACCAAAAAACGAACGAAAUUUUUCUACCCUAGUUUUCACUAAGAAAUUUUCCUAAGUUAUUUGUAUCUAAAAUCUAAACUAUUUCUUUAUUUGAAAGCAAUAAAAACCAAGAUUGUGUAUCCUAGGGAAAGAGAUUAGGGGGUGGAGCCCUAUAUCUAUACUAAAAANNNNNNNNNNNNNNNNNNNNNNNNNAUUUAGCCAGCAUUAGGGCUCCAACCGAACUGAGCAUUUUUACACUUGGCGACAUUAGGGCUCCAGCCUCUGAGUUGCGUGUUGCAGACUAGUUUUUUCUUAUCCCCGCAUCAGUGCUGUAGAUUAUUAUGGCAAUUAAUUCACGAAAUUUUUCUAGUGAAACUGGGGCAGAAAAAUUUCGUUCGUUUGUUUUGUUUUGUCUCGGCAGGUUUGGCCUCGAGGCGCAUGGAUCGAGACGACCUAUGGGAUGAGUCUCAAUCCAUAAUGAAGAAAAGAAGAAAAAGACAAAAAGAAGAUGUUCUGAGAUAUUGGAACAAACAAAGGGCGGAUCACUCCAAAAUUUAAUCAAGGUCCCGACUCCGCCAAUCCCGUCUCACUCAAUAUCGCAGAAAUAAACAGGCGCCUACAAUUUGCAAGCAUCAAGAUUCGGAUCGAAGUCUACGAGCAGAAUCAGCCAAGACCCUAGAUCAAGUUGCAAAAGAAUUAUAGAUAGGAAUCUUGUAACUAUCGGUUGACAGGCAUAAAUAGUUAGAUUAGUUUCAAUUUCCUUUGGUUGUAAUAAGGCGGUCGGUAAGCAGUAGUGGCAACAGCAGCAGCAGUAACAACAAGCAUUGUCAUCCCAUGGUAGUCCCAGCUACCAAAAUUUCCCGAACUACAUUGACCUGAUUCCUGUUUAGCCCAGGAUAUGUAGGAAAUCUUUGAAGCGAAGAUUCGGUCAAAUCUUUCAAAAAGCGCUUCACAUGGAGUAUUCCAAUAUGCAAAAUCGCUCAUAUCCGCUCACUUUAUCUUUGUACGGAAACUCUUCGUGUUUUCGCACAAAGAAGGGCAGCUGUGAGCACGUGAUUUUUGUUUACACGACAAUUACUCCAAAAAAAACAAAAUAAUAACAAAUGGCUUCGCCGUACAAUUUUUGGAAUUUACGUGGCAUUUUUUGUUAGCUAUUUGUGGUUUUGUCCGUGUCUAUUUAGUCUUAUCCAACAAAAAUAUAAAAAAUAUAUGUCGUGUGUAAGUUUAGGAUAUCAUUCUACUAUUAGGAAUUAAUCGAACCAUAAUCCGGCUAUUAAAAGGAAAAUCACAAAAAUGCAUCUUUUAUUUUAUUUCGUCAAUAAGUGAUGUUAUUUUAAUUAAAUGUUAAUAUGUGUGAUAAUUGUUGUUUAAUGUUUGUAUAGUGUUAUUUGACAAUUUAAUUGAGAGAUUAAAGAAGAAAAGGAUUUUCGGAUUGGGCCAGUUUGAAUUAAAUAGGAACAGGCCCAAACCAAAAUAACCAGUCCAAAUUCCCUUUUAUCCAGUCCAGUUAGGCGGGCCACAUGACUGUCCAAACGACGUCGUUGUGUCACCCUCAAUUUGGACCGUUGAUCUCACUAGAUUGACGGUCCAGAUCACUCACCCAUAACCCCAUUACCCGACCCGUUACCCGGACCAACCCCGACCCCAAUACUAAACCAAACGACACUAUUCGAUUAACCCUUGGAUCCAGGACGUUGAUCUCGAUUGAUCUAACGGCCGAGAUCAAACCAUCCACCUCAUAUAUAAACCCUCAUCUCAUACCCCGCCCCCCUAUCCAAGCACCCCUCCCUCGUCUUCAUCUCCCUCACCAGACCCAAACCCCCACAGAACCCUAGCGCCGCCCCCCUUUCCCCUCACCAUAAACCCGGCGGCAAGAAUGACGGUGACCACCACCUUAACACCCUAGGACCACCUCAACCCCCUGAACACAGAUCCACUAACCGUGGGUCUCGAAUCCUCCCCCACCAUCUCGAAUCUUCAUUUGAAGAUUCGAGCUGGACCUCGACCUACACCAAACCACCAAGAUUCACACUAGACACUCCCCUGACCUCCCUCGUGACCAAACCAAGCUUGGUUUGGUCCGAAUCUACCCACAAAUCCCAAAACCCCAAAUUUGAAGAUUCAAACCCUAGAUCACAAUAAUCUGUGAAGUCUGUUUAGAUUUAACGGAAGUUUGGGGUCUAGUAGACCCUAAUCUAAGUGUUCUCGGUCGAGAACACCUCGGUUAGGAUUUGUUCGACUUCAAAUGGGCAAAUUAAGCUCGGGCCUGGGGUCAUCUGUAUUUAAGCUUUUCUAGUUUGUUCACUGUUCCCUUUUGUUAUCUAUUUAGUCUAGAUUAGUUUAUCGGCAUGUUUAUUUAGUUUGUUUAUUUAUUUUGGGAUUUCUGUUGUCAGUUGUUCUCCAUCUCCAUAAGAUCUGUUAUUUGGUCGAUUGUUUAUUCUGUUAUGUUGAAUCCGUAUAGUAGUAUACAUAUAUCAAUAUGAUUAACAUCGUCGAAUCAAUAAUGCAUGGUUUUUCCCUGUAUCAUGCAAAAUUAUCAAGAACAGUUCAUGCCCUAUUUGUAUUAUUUGUUUAAUCGACUGAUUGUUCUACGUUAUAAUUAAUAUAGUCGAUUAGAUAAACGUCGUCGAUUAGUUUCAUAGGACUGAAUGUUCAAAUGUCCUGAUUCCUGAUAACUUCAUAUGAUUUGAUCGAACCAUGGUCGAUUAGCUGGUUGUUUGAAAACUAUCUGUUAAUGGUUUGUUAGCUAUAAUACAAUAGUUGGAAUUCAGUUAGGAUAGUUUGUUGAAUUUGAACUCCCAUAAGUUCAGAAUUUCAUUUUUUGUUGAAGUGGGGAUAAAACAGUAAUAGUCAGGGGUUUUUAAAAGGUUUGGUUUGGGGUUAUAAAAUUCUGAAAUGCUUAAAGGCAAGUUGAGCUGACAAUAAGGUACUAAAACAUUGAUCCAACUAAUGUAAUUAAUUGACCAAUAAGUGGAAUUAAUGACAUAUUGAGUGCCUUUAAUGGCUGAAAAUCAGAAAAGCAUGGCAAUUUGUAGUUCUUUAAUGAAUUAGGGUCAAUUGGACAGCAUGUGCUGUCAGGAUACAUUCCUGCUGCCCAUGUUUUGGUUUAGUUUAAUAAAAUAAUAAGAGAUAAGUCCUUAUAAUAAUGAGAAAGGGCCUGUCAGGGGAAUCUCAUGGGAGGGGUUUUAUUUUUAAAUGGUUGAGUGGAAAAACAACAAGAGAUGGGAGGGAGUUUGAAUGGUUUAACAGGCUGUAGAUGGUCUGGGGGAAGGCUAUAAAAGAGAGGAGUUUCCAUUAGUUAAGAAGGGACUGAAGCUAAAAAAACUGGGGAGAAAAAAAAACAGUUAUGAAUUAGAAAGGGUCAAUCAGACAGUAGAGAGUUCAGGGCAUUAGUUCUGAAAAUCAGAAAGUGGAUAGUAGAUAGUUUCAAAAAGAGAGAGUUCCAAAAGAAGGGUUCUGAAAAUCAGAAACUGUUUUCCCAUUGAUAUCUUGAUUUCACCUAUUUCGGCAUGUUGAUUAACACUGGUAUUUCCAAGUACCAACUGAGUCUACUGGGUGCUUGUUUCAUUGGUUUGUUUCUGGGUUUUGUCCAUCUGGGGUCUUGAUUCUACUCUACUGUUUGCUGCUGUCAUUUUGCUACUGCUUUCCAUCGGUUAUAGUUGCAUUUCGCACUGGAAUUUAUUCUGCUGUUCAUUUGUUGCUACUGCUGCUGUUCGUUGCUGUUAUUUGUGGUCAUUGCUGCCGUUUGUGUUGCUGUAGAUUUUCUGCUUCCAUCUUCUUCUUCAUUUGUAAGCAUUUCCAGGUACAUACUUCUGAAACCAUGUGUUGAUGUUAAGCUUGAAGAUUGGAGUUGAAAUGAAAUAAAUGAAUGCUCGUCUGCUUCACAGUAUCUAUGCUCAAGAUAUAGCAAUAGGAUGAAUGAUAAAAUAGUUUGUGAUUGUUUAAGCUCAUCCCAAUUGUAUUUAUAUUGUGUGAAUUAGAACGUACUCGAACUCGAUUUUGGGGACUGUUAAAUAGCACGGUGCUAGAUCGACUAGACAUAUUUCCAUAUGUUUUAGCAAUCUAGUAUGGUUGGUGAUGAUGAUAUAACACAGAAUAUUAGCGGGCAUUUGUAUGUAUCCUAUUGGACCUUCGAGUCGUUUUGUCAUGGCCCGAUCCAGUUUGAUUUUAACACAUAUUUCAAGCAAACUUUCAUAUUAUGUUAGUCAAUGCCAACCGAUUAAUCAUUAAUGUCAACUCUCUUGAUUGAAUUCCAUGUUUCAAUAAAGGUUAAAUAGUGUAGAUUAAUAAUUAAUGUUAGCAUCAGCUCACCAUUUAAAUGAAGUGGCUACUAAUUUUAUAGAAUCGGUAGGUUUUACCUAUUCGGAGAGUACGAAUCAAUGUGGCAGGGUUAAAAGCUUUAAUCUAAUAGGCGUGAAUCUAGCAAGAUGGUUUAAAAUUCAGAUCUAAUAAACUUUCGAAUAAGCACUAAGAAUCAAGGUUAAUGUUAUUUUGAAUAGUCAAAAAAUAAUUAUUGGUCUGUUCACAUAAUUAUGCGGAGUUAACCUAGUUAUAUGAUAAUUAAUCUUCUUGGACUAUAUCAUUUUGUCGAUUUUUUGUAUUUAUUUAUAAUUUCAAAUUUUAAGUAAUUUUCCUUUCUGUCUUAACCUAGUACGUAAUAUGUUAUGUUUGUAUCAUGUAGCUAAGUAAGAUUUUCCUCUUUCUCUUCUUAUUUUUAAUAGAAAUGUAGUCACUUUAGAAUAUCCUUAAAAUAAAUGAGACGAGCCUCGCCAAAUAAAACGCAAAUCGCGGGGCCCUCAAUAAUCGAUCAUAAUAAAUACAUAGAAUUUGGGAAUGACUGUUUAGUGAAUUUCACUGCCUUCCCCAAAGAUAAUAACGCGUCGGACUCUUUAGGCGCGAUUUAAUCAAAUUAUAUUCUUAAGUUCGGGUGCACAUUUAUGUGGCCCAAAUUCAAAUCUCAAUAGAGUUGAAGUGUGUUAACAACUACGGGUGCAUUGAUUGUGACGUGGUUCGAAAUGCAUUUUCACGACGUUGCAAUUCUAUAAAAAUAAAUGAUAAUAAUAAAAGCGGUUUAAACUUAAUAAAAGCACAUAAGUCAUAACAUGUAUUUUAAAUCAGAUAUUUAGCCAUUAUAACAAUUUAAGCGACCGUGCUAGAACCACGGGAUUCGAGGGUGCCUAACACCUUCCCUCGGGUCAACAGAAUUCCUUACUUAGAAUUUUUGGUUCGCAGACUUCAUUUGGAAAGUCGAAUAUUUUCCUCGAUUUGGGAUUCAAGAUAAACCGGUGACUUGGGACACCAAAAGCCAAACCUUUCCCAAGUGGCGACUCUGAAUUAAAUAAAUAAUCCCAUUUCGAAUAUUGUCACUUAAAUUGGAAAAACUCCCUCGCACAUCUUAACCCUUCGGGGCCGGACGCGUAAAAAGGAGGUGUGAUGGUGGCCUUGAUUGUUUUUGAUCACUUUAUCUUGGCCCAACUCUUUUGGUGAGAACCUCUGCUGCUGGCUAGCUUUUCUGAAGAUUGAUCUCUCUCCUAAAACCGGGGAACUCGACUUUCCAAAGCUUCACAUGACGGUUCACCCAUGUGGGGCUUUGGCCCUUUCAUCUUAUUCUGCAUCUAUGGGCAUUUGACUUCGGAUUUCUUUUAUUUUCAAUAAUUUUAACUUCAGAGCAUCGACCAUCAUGGCCAGUCGGGAUCGACUUGAUGCACCCGCUGAGGCUGGGUACUUUUCUUUGGGCUUGGCUUUUAUUAAGUAGAACCCUAUACAACCAAUCUUGCCACAUUUUCUUUGUAUUAGUUUCGGAACAGAGUUAGACUGAAAGAGAUUCAUAGAAAAGUAAACAAAGGACAAUAAAGUGAAUUUAAGGAGAAGUGUCCCUUUCGGGGAGGAAAGAAGGACUUAUUUGGAGUGCAUGUAGACUUCAAUCGACAUGACAUGCUUCUUGGACUGGAUACCUGAUCUGCACAACUAUCCAACUUCUGAUAAACCCAUUGUGACCCGUGUUUUAAAACUGAGAAAACUUGCCAAGACUCUGUCAGUACCAAUGGUGGUGAGGGAUUUCUUCUUUUCGAUCAUCGACGCCCUUUGCGGGUUUUCGCCGAUCGACCUCUAUCAUUUAUCUUCUCACCAUCGCCUUAUAGUGCACUUUACGAGUUUUCACUAACAAGGCUCUCUCAUUUUCAAUUUCUCUGCUCACCGUCGACUUAUGGUGCCCGCGGGUUUUCACCAGUAUGACUCUCUCAUUUUAUUUCUCUCAUCUUGAUUGCAUCGAAUCCAAACAACUGCGUUCUCCGAUUUUGAACACCUUUCACCGAUUGAUUGGAAGGACUUGAACAAGGUUUAGGUAAAAAUAAUUUGGAUUGAAUUACAACUUUGGAACCAUUCGGGCGGGAUCAUCUCCGAACCAUUAUAACAUCUGUCUCAGUUUCACUUUUGGGGGGAAAUUGGAUUUUUGUUUGGUAUGAUUGAACCCCAGAGAGAGGAUGCCUACGUAUCCUUUUGGAAUCUAGUCGAAUGUAGUUCAGGGAAACAUUUUGUUUUGUUGUUGUUUUGUUGUCUUUCUUUUUCUUUUCUUUUGUUUUGAUGAUUUUUUUUACAAACAUCUUCAAGUUCCAAAGAGGGUAAUGAAUGGAAGGUAACCGGCUCAAAGGGUUAGCAAAUGAUUGGAGUAUUUGGGGUAGAGAGAACGAAAGCCUUCGUCAUCCCAAUCGGGUAAUGUUGUUGUUAUAGACAUAGUACCUUUUGAUUGCGCCUGCAUUUACAGCUGUUUCGGGGUCAUUCCCUUCAAUGUCUCCCAGGUAUAACGCCCCUUUUAGCAAUAAUUUUCUGAUAAUGUAUGGUCCUUUCCAGUUAUGAGCAAACUUUCCUUUUGCUUCCUAAUGAUAGGGGAGAAUGCGCCUUAAAAUGAGUUGACCAACUUCAAAGUUUCUAGGCCGAACUUUCUUGUUGUAGGUACGGGCCAUUCUUUAUUGAUACAACUGCCCGGGGGGGGGGGGAGACUGCAGUCAUUCACUUUAUAUCGAUCAGGGUUAACUGUUCCAGAUGGGUUUUGACCCACUCGCUGUCUUCAAUUUCAGCUUCAACAAUGAUCUGAAGAGAAGGGAUUUCAACUUCUGCGGGUAUUACGGCUUCAGUGCCAUAAACCAAAUGAUACAGGGUUGCUCCGACUGACGUGCGCACAGUAAUGCGAUAUUUCAACAAUGCAAACGGCAACUUUUCAUACCAUUGCCUGGACCUUUGGAUCAUCUUUCUCAGAAUCUUUUUGAUGUUCUUGUUUGCUGCUUCGACGACACCAUUGGCUUUGGGCCAAUAAGGAGUAGAAUUUUGAUGCGUGAUCUUAAACUACUCACAUAUCUCCCUCAUCAAGUGACUAUUUAGGUUUGUAGCAUUAUCUGUAAUGAUAGUUGCAGGAAUACCGAAACAGCAGAUGAGAUUGGAAUGCAUUAAGUCUACCACAGCUUUCUUGGUGACAGAUUUGAGAGUAAUUGCUUCAACCCACUUUGUGAAGUAGUCGAUAGCGACUAAUAUAAAUCUAUGCCCAUUUGAAGCUUUUGGCUCAAUCGGCCCAAUGACGUCCAUUCCCCAGGCAACAAAUGGCCAAUGUGCUGACAUGGGAUGCAGUUCUGUAGGUGGUGCAUGGAUUAAAUCACCGUGCACCUGACACUAAUGACAUUUCCGAACAAAACUGAAGCAAUCCUUUUCCAUAGUCAUCCAAUAAUAGCCUGCUCGAAGGAUCUUCUUUGCCAAAACAUACCCAUUCAUGUGGGGCCCAAAAACUCCUGUAUGCACUUUGCACAUGAUUCUUCCUGCUUCUUUCAGCGUCAACGCAUCUUAACAAAUUGAGAUCUGGAGUCAUUUUGUACAAGACCUCGCCACUCAAGAAGAAACCGUUUGUGAGCUGUCUAAUGGUCCACUUUUUGUCUUCACUGGCUUGCUCGGGAUAUUCUUUAGUUUUCAGAAAUCUCUUGAUAUCAUGAUACCAUGGAUGAAUAUUUGGUUCUGCCUCAACCGUAUUGCAGUAACCGUGCCUUUCUCGGAUUUGGAUUUCCAACGGGUCAAUGUGGACAUUGCCUGGGUAUGGCAACAUUGAGGCCAAAGUAGUGAGUGCAUCAGUCAAUUCAUUGUGAAAACGAGGAAUGUACCUGAACUCAAUUGACUUGAACCGCCGACUAAGAUCUUCCACAUGUUGCCUGUAGGGAAUAAGCUUGACAUCUCGAGUCUCCCAUUCUCCCUAAGCUUGUCGUAUAAUCAGAUUCGAAUCUCCCAUGAUUAACAAUUCUUCGACAUCUUGGGCGAUUUCCAUGUUCAUACCCAUAAUGCAGGCUUCAUACUCGGUAGUGUUGUUUGUGCAGAAAAACCAAAGCCUGGCUUUGGCUGGAUAAUGCUGACCAGUGGGUGAGAUCAAGAUUGCCCCAAUUCAAAGACCUUUUGCGUUUACAACCCAAUCGAAGAACAUUUUCCAAGCAUUGGUGUCUUCUGAUGUUAUCUCAAUUGAAUUUACCUCUUCAUCCGGAAAGUAAGUACUCAGGGGUUGGUAAUCAUCAUCAACAGGGUUUUCAGCUAGGUGAUUAGCUAGAGCCUAGGCCUUUAUUGUCGUGCGGGUGACAUAGACUAUGUCAAAUUCAGUAAGCAGGAUCUGCCAUUUUGCUAACCUCCCUGUGGGCAUCGGCUUCUAGAAUAUGUACUUAAGAGGGUCCAACCUGGUAAUGAGGUAGGUGGUGUAGGCCAACAAGUAAUGUCUAAGCUUCUGAGCGACCCAAGUUAAAGCACAACAAGUUCUUUCCAACUAAGUGUAUUUGGCUUCAUAACUGGUAAACUUCUUGCUCAGAUAGUAGAUUGCCUGCUCUCUCUUUCCAGUCACAUCAUGUUGCCCGAGGACACAGCCGAAAGAGUUUUCCAAGACUGUCAGAUACAAGAACAGAGGCCUUCCCGGUUCAGGUGGGACCAAGACUGGCGAGUUUGACAAAUAUUCUUUGAUUUUGUCAAAGGCUUCUUGACACUCAUCCGUCCAUUUAAUUACCGCAUCUUUCUUCAACAGCUUGAAGAUGGGAUCACAUGUGGAAGUCAACUGAGCAAUGAAUCGGCUGAUGUAAUUCAACCUUCCCAGCAGGCUCAUAACCUCAUUCUUGGUUCUUGGAGGAGGCAAAUCUCGAAUAGACUUUAUCUUUGUUGGGUCAAACUCGAUGCCCCUCCGGCUGACUAUAAAUCCCAAGAUCUUUCCAGACAGAACCCCAAAUGCACACUUGGCUGAAUUUAGCUUCAAAUCAUAUUUACGCAGCCACUCAAAGAAUUUUCUCAAGUCCCAAACAUGGUCGUCCUGGAUUUGAUGAUCACAUCGUCCACAUACACCUCUAUCUCUUGAUGCAUCAUGUCAUGAAAAAUGGCAGUCAUGGCCCUCAUAUAAGUUGCCCCGGUGUUCUUCAGACCAAAAGGCAUAACUCUGUAUCAAUAGGUGCCCCAGGGUGUGGUGAAAGUUGUCUUUUCCACAUCCUCUUCAUCCAUCAACACCUGGUGAUAUCCUGUAUAACAAUCCACGAAGGACUGUAUCUCAUGUUUGGCGCAGUUAUCAACAUGGAUGUGGAUGUUUGGCAAAGGGAAAUUAUCCUUGGGACUUGUUUUGUUCAAAUCUUUAUAGUCCACACACACUCGAGUUUUCCCAUCUUUCAUUGGCACUGGAACUACAUUGGCUAACCAUGUGGUGUAUCGAACCACUCAGAUCACCCCCGCUUUCAACUAUUUUGUGGCUUCUUCUUUAAUCUUGUCACUGAUAUCAGUUUUGAACUUUCUUUGCUUUUGUUGGAUAGGGGGAUAAUCGGGGUAGAUUGGUAGCUUGUGAAUCACCAAAUCGAUACUUGUCCUGGCAUGUCAUCGUAUGACCAAGCAAACACAUCUUUGAAUUCAAACAAAAGUUGGAUCAAUGCGUCCCGGGUUUUUUCAUCUGUGUGAAUGCUUAUCUUGGUUUCUUUGGCUUCUUCAGAACUACCCAAAUUAACCGGCUCAGUAUCAUUUAAGUUCAGCUUAGGUUUAUUCUCAAAUUUCAAAUUCUUGAUUUAUUUCCCUAAAAGCCUCUUCUUCAUCAUAUUUUGGUUCUUGGUUCAUUACUUCACAAUUAGACAGUGUGUUUGGAUCUGGACAUGAAGUCUGCAAGCAUGUCAUGUUAUUUAAAACCGCAUUAUUAGAACUGAAAGAAGAAAUAAGAAAAAGUAACAAAAUCAGAAAUAAUAGAGAGAUGAACGAUGAAAUAUUGAUUUCAUUUCAUUAAAUUAUCAAGAUAACAGGGUUUAUAUUGGAAAUUAAGGACAAUAAACUAAAAGAAAACAUCCGAGUUACACCCUAAAAUAACUCGUGAUACAGAAAAGGUGGCAGGACUGGACUACCUGGAUUCCCGUCUGACUGGGAAAGGAGUAGCCUUCCAAUUCUGCAACUUGGCAUUGGGCCCCAUAUAUAGCACCUCAGCUAUACUCGUGCCUUCUCCCGGUUGAACCAUGUGGGUUUCAUAGAGCAUCUGUCUCAUAGCCCCACAGAUUUCUUCAAUUUCCUCGGCCGUGAAGGCCUCAUAUUCCUCUUCCUCAUUGUACUUAGAAAUGACAAAUGUUCUAUAAAGAUGCGGAACCGGCUGAGGCAAGACCUAACCAUUGUUCUUUCGUUUAUCUGCCCAUGUUUCAUCAGCUGGCGUGGGUUGGAAACCCACCCCAAAGAACUUCUCGCUAGCAGCCAGAGUAAUAGGUUCUGUGAUUCCUUGCAAUGACAGCCCGAGCCCCUUCCCGGGUUUAUAACCAUGCUUGAUCAUUUCCUUGGCAACCACAAUUAACGCAUUUGAGAGAAAGUGUUGAGGACAAGGGUUUCUUUCUUCACAUUGGUCUGCGACCACAACCUCGAAAGCUUGAUAGACUAUAUGUUCACUUCCUUCCCUAACUUCAAGACAUGGGACUGACGGGUCCCGGUAAAUUGACUGCGCAUCUUCUCCAUGAACUACAAUCUCCUGAUCUUCAUAUUCAAAUUUUACCAUCUGGUGGAGAGUAGAAGGUACAGCCCCUGCUGCGUGAAUCCAAGGUCUUCCCAAGAGGAAAUUAUAGAAAGUAUCCAUGUCUAGGACCUGAAAGGUCACCUCGAAAUCCACCAGACCAAUAGUCAGAAUCAAAUCAAUCUCACAUAUGUUGUCUCUUUUGAUACCAUCAAAGGCAUGCACAUAGACAUUGUUGGGCCUGAUUCUCUUAGUACUGAUCUCCAUUCUUUGCAGAGUCGAGAGAGGGAAAAUAUCUACUCCGGAACCACUGUCCAGCAUGACCCUUUUCACAUAAUAUCCCUCGCAUUUAACUGUCAGAUGAAGGGUUUUGUUGUGGGCGGCCCCUUCCGGGGGCAGAUCAAACUUGCUGAAAGAAAUUUGAUUGACUGCAAAAAAUCGUUCUGACAUCCUUUCCAGUUGUUCCACAGUGGUUUUAAUGGGAACAUACGCUUCAUUGAGGGUUUUGAUCAACACUUUCUGAUGUUUAGUUGAAUUCAUUAGUAGAGACAACAAAGAGACCUGAGCAGGAGACUUCCGGAGUUGAUCAAUUAUCUCGUAGCUCGCCAUUUUCAUUUUACUGAAGAACUCUUCUGCUUCUUCAGCACUAACUGGCUUCUUGAGUGGGAAACGCUUCUUCGUGGCUUUAUUUACUUCCUCCAGAUUGAGGUAUUUCUCCGCCGGGUUGGUUUCAUUUGCUUCUCCCAGGACUUCUUUUCCUUUGUAGGUUACUACCGCCCUGCUAUAAUUCUAUGGGACAGUAGUAGGAUCCGUCAUGGGCCUCUGCGGUGCGCGGCCAAUAACCACGGGCUCAUUCAGCCUUGGUGAAAUUACUGGCCCCCGCACCACAUAGGUCCCUUUAGGCACAUACAUUUCAGAUCCCUUGUUUAGCUCAAACCUUCUUGGAGGGCUCAAUGACAUUUGUUCUUUCUUGUGCCCCCAGGGAACAUAAAGAACCGCAUCUUUUGAGGGCGCUACCCCAGUUUUGGUUUCCACUUUCUUUUCUGUGUUUUGAGGGAUGGGUUUACUCUUCUUCUCCCCCUUGUCUUGUUUUACUACAGCCUUUGUCUUCCUUUCAACAUCAGUGAUUGCAAUUAUGGCUUUCAAAGCUGGAUCGAACUCCUUAUCUUUGAAAAUCAUUCCGAUAACCGGUCCGUUAUUGUGAGUCGGUAAUGGAUUGUUGGUCACAUUAGGAACGUCUUCGUCCUUUAGCACUAUCCGCUUUUGUUCUAUGAGAUUUUAAAUGGCCCUUUUCAGGGUCCAACAGUCAUCUGUUUCAUGCCCUUCCGCUCUCGAAUGGUAUGCACAUCAAGUAUCGGCUCUGUAGGAGGGCGAUUCUAGGUUCUGCCUGGUUUGGGGUACGUGCUGCAACAGACCCAUCUGGACAAGUUUGGGGAAAAGGCUGGAAUAUGACUCACCAAUGGGCGUGAAGUUUGCCAUUCUGGGUGGUUCCCGGGCAUGGGCAUUGUAGGGAAAGCUGUUCUGUGGAGGUCGGGGGUUAUACUGAGCUUGGCGAGGAGGUUGAUUUCUGGGAAAUGGAGCUCGGUUUUGAUUGAGUUGUUGUUGUGGCCUAACGUAGGGCUGGGCAUUCAUUACUGCGUAUGGCCGAGGAACCAUAGCAUAGGCCACAUCCUGAUGGGGAUAGCAAUGUUGUGGGGUUCUUGCAGGGAAGUAAGGUCUGGGUAGACUGGGUUUUCUUACACUUGAAAUUGCCAUUGCCACUUCUUCCUUCUUCUUUCGGUUCGCUACACCUCCAGACCCGCCUUGAAUUGCUUGGGAGGUAGCCCUUAUAGCAGAUUGACUCAAUAUUCGCCCUGUUUUUAAACCAUUCUCGACCAUUUCACCAAUUUUGAUGGUCUCGGCAAACGGUUUCCCCAUCGCAAACAUCAUAUUCUGAUAAUAAUCAGUAUUUUGGGCUUGAAGAAAAACACUAACCAUCUCUGUUUCAUCCAUUGGAGGCUUGACUCUGGCCGCUUGUUCGCGCCAUUUGACAGCAUACUCUCGGAAGCUUUCUGAGGACUUCUUCUUAAGAUUUGACAACAAAUUCUUGUCAGGGUCUAUGUCGAUGUUAUACUGAAACGACCUGACAAAUUCCAAGCCAGGUCAUCCCAGAUAUGCCAAUGAGAUAUAUCCCGAUCCAUGUACCAUUCAGAAGCAAUGCCGACCAGGAUCUCCCCAAAAUAAGCCAUGAGAAGCUCCUUUUUUCCACCUGCUCCUCGCAAUUGGUUGUAGUACCUCUUGAGGUGGGCUAUGGGAUCCCUAUACCCGUUAUACUUUUCAAACUUUGGGGUUUUGAAACCCAAGGGUAAGUGCACGUGUGGGAACAUACAUAGAUCAUUGUAGAACACGCUCUUUUGCCCGCUCAAACCUUGUAUAUUUUUUAGACUCUUCUCCACGCUCCUCAUCUUUUUGGUAAUCUUCUCUUGUUUAGGGUUUUUUAUGGUUUUCUCCUACCCCGCGGUAAACUCAUACCGGGGCGGCUGAAGGUAAGAUUGGUAGUAAACUGGGUUGGUUCUAUUGGGAAAGAUGGUGCUUGAAAGGUAAAGGAUGAUGGAUCAAAGCUAGGCCUGAGCAGAGUGGGUUGUGCCGUAGCCGAACAGGGUGGCGUAGUGAAUAUGUUUGAGGCCACACCUAAAGUUAACACCUGGGGGCGAGCCUCAGAAGGUGUUCCAGCAAAGUGGGCUGAGAUGGUAGGAUAUCCCAAUGGGGUAUUUGGAUAAUUUAUGGGGAUGUUGGAAGUCCCACUUUCCCUGGGAAAUAACUCAGGGAAUCCAGGUAUCGCAUUCAGUGGUUCCCUAUUGUUGGCCUAGGAAUCCCACAUUUCCAUCAUGCAGAGAUGCAGAAUUCUGUUUUCCUCAGCAGUUGCUGACUCGGAAGUUGGGAUGGCCAAGAUCGGACUAUCCUCUGGAAUGGGAACUAUUGGCAGAUGACUUUCCGAAGACAUUUCAACACUUCCUUUUGACCUUGUGAAGUAUGGAUGUGAAGCCAGAUUACCACAAAACCAACCACCUUAAUAUAGAACCUGUACUUAACAGUAGACAACAAACUGGUCAGUUUGAUGCAAUUAACACAUAGGUAGUCGCACAUUGGGGUAUGAUGCACCUAUACAGUUAAGUGUGUUUCUACAUGUUUCGCAACGGUUGCGUGUUUCAUCCCGGCUCUUGCUUAUUUCCCCAAUUUUCUUUUCUUUCCACUUUGGCUCUUUGUGCUUUUCCUCUUAUUCCUGUUUUCCUCUCUUUUUUCUUUCCUCUCUUUUCUUGUUUUUUUUUUCGUUUUUCUUUUGUUUUUUCUUUGGCUCUUUUUUUUUCUUUUUGGUUUUUCUUUCGGUUCUUUCCUUCCACAUUCCUCUUUUAUUUGAGUUAUUUACAAAAAUCAUGACCGGAUCCGAUGAGGAUUGCCUAUGUAUCACGACGCUGCGUGAAUCAGAUCAUUACGUAGUUCAAGAAAUAAGUACGAAAAAUAAGGAAACAAUUUUUUUUUGGAAAUUUUCAAUUUUCAUUAAUAAAACUCCUAAACUUUUAUAUUAUAAAAGACUCCAAUAUACUCAUUUCUUGGAAUUUUAAAAACUACAAACAGACUCAAAACAAUAUUUUAAACUAAAAAUUGAGAUACUGACUCGAUAAAUGAAAAUCAAGAGUACAUAAGUGCUUUUACUCCUGGGGCCCGUGGGAUAUCAUUCGGUCUUGCCACGGGCCUAUGUGCAAGAUCCCCUUGAAGACGCUCCAGAUCACUCAUUAUUUGGCGAGCAAAUGUUAUUACUGCACCAAAGAAAGUGGUUCGAGUCAUGUCUUCACAUUCGUGGCAUUUCAUGACUAUGUAAUCAGCAAUUGCUCUAACCCUCUCCCAGAUAAUACCCUUUUCUUGGAGCAAACGCCCGAUUUGCUGAGUCCUAGCUUCUAGCACUUGAGUGUCAUGAUGAUUUUGACUCUACAGCUGUUGCAUAUCUUCCUCCAGUUGGGACAUCAAUGCAUAGUAAUGUUUCCUUUCGGCUUUAAAGUUCUUAGCUUGUUUGGAUAUCUCAUUUUCGAGGGUAGUGAGCUUUCUCUUCAAAUCUGUGACUGUUCCCUCAUAUUUUCUUUUCAACUGCCGCACAAACUCCGCUCGUCCUUCUGCAUUCUUUAUUAAUUGUGCUCGGGCUCUUGCUAUACUAUCUUCAGAUUUUUCCAAGUCAUCUUGGAACUCGAUUACUUUCUUUCUAAGACCACUUAUAAGCCUUUCAGCUGCUCGACUUCUCUCAUAGUUUACAUCAGUUGUUUUCAUCUUUUGGAUCUGAGCUCUAAGGGCUUUAUUUUCUUGAACCAGCUUCUUCUUUUCCCCUUCAUCGGCAGAAUCUUGGACACUAUUGUCAAAUUUGAGGUCCCUGAUUUGUCCCUCCAAUUUACUUAUCUUGGCCCUAUAGCUUGCCUCUUUCGCCAGCCAGCCCCAUUGCUCCUGCGAAUCGUCAGUGAAUUGCUGGACGUGGGGUCUUUUGGCAUGCCUUUCACGCUCUCGAGGGAUUUGAAACCUCUUACCAAACCACUUCAUGUAAUUAGGGUCUAACUCGCCUUUAGAUAGAUCCUGCAGUAGAGUCUUUGGUUCUAGUAAUCUGUACUCAUUCCAAAUCUGACGAAUAUUUCCUUCUGGGAAUACAGCUUUUGGACCCAACUCUAUGACUUGUCGCUCAAAUCUUCGUCAUGGGGAAUAGUUUAAAACCUGCCCAAUUGGCGCAACACCCUGUGAGGAGCAUAUAGCUGAACGCUCCGGAGACCCAUUAGGAGAAGAUAGCACACCUCGGCUGACAUGUAUAUGACUUCAGUGACAGGGAGCCAUCCGAAAGUCCACUCAAUUUUGUCCGAAGUUAAAGAACUCAAGUGCGCAAACCAAGUCUCUGUACCUUCUGGAAAUUCAACACCUGCCACUCGGUUUACGUGCUCUUCGAUGCAAUUCAGCCCAGUCAUGCCGUAGUUCAUAUACCCCACACGGUGACAAAGAUGUUCUUGUAUCCAAAGUUGUUUUAGCAGGUUGCAACCCUAGAAGAAUCUUCCCCAUUAUCGGCAUAUGGUUAAGGAUCAGUAAAUCUCAGCUAAGAUCAUUGGAACAAGAGUGCCAUUAGCUCUCUUAAUCAUGACGUCGACCAUUCCCACAAGACCCAAUUCUAUAUUGCCAUCUUUUCUUGGGCAGAUUAUGACACCCAAAAAUGCUACUAUAAAGGCCAAACCCCGCCGUGCCUCCCAUUUAUCUUUAUUUUCUGCAUGGGUCAGACCAAUAUCCGGUGCUUCAAAACCAUGGGGAUUGCCAUAGCGCUAGUACAAGAAGUGGAAAGUGUAAAACCCUUCGGAUAAAUUCCCAUCCUGAACCUCCCGACUAAUACUCAACAUAUCUAGAAACUUGUGAGGAGACACUGUUCUUGGCGAAAUCGGGUACCAACUUCUGAGGUUCCCAUUAAGACCGGCAUAGCCCGCAAUUUCCUCUAGCGUGUGGGUGAGCUCAAAAUCAGAAAAGUGAAACACAUUGUGAGUUGGAUCCCAGAAAGGUAUCAAGGCCUCAAUCACAUCCAACCUCGGCUUGAUUUUCAGAAGUCCCACGAGACCACCCAAAACUUUUAUCACAGUCCCUCUGCUGACUUUUCCUAAGUCGUUCCACCACAUAUGGAGCUGUAAAGGGAUUUCCUCAAGAACUUCAAAGGGUUCAUUUUCAUUUGUGCUCACCCUGCACAUUUAUUAGGGUGAUUUAGUUAAAGGAUCAUGAUUUCUUUGGACUCAAGAAAAAGUCAUCAUUACUUUUUUUUCAAAAAUUUUCAUUUCGAAAAUAAUACCCGGCUUUGUAAAUACGGCCCUUCAGCACUUCGGGAAAUAAGAUUUUAGGGCUAUGUUUGCUAAUCGGCCAAAAAUUUGAAAAGGAGACCAUAAGUGGUUGUUUUUGCAAAAACAACAUUCCGGCGCCCUUUUGGGGACAUUUGGCUAUUUUAGGCAAGAAUGGCAUCACCUUACUUAUUUAUGACAAACCAAUAAAUUUUUUUGUUCUUUUUGGGUUGUUUUUUCAAAAAUAAAGUUGGACCCGAUGGGGGUUGCCUACUUAUCCCAUAUCCGAUGAGAAUCAAACUAGCGUAGUUCGGGUAGAUUUGACAUAAUAAAAACAAUACUAAUUAUUUUUUUUAAAACAAAAUUUUCUCUUUUUUUUUUCAAAAUUUCACUAGAGUUUCGGUACUUUUUGGACAUCGGGUUUUUCAAAAUAGGUAAUAAUCUCUCUAUCCCUCAAAUUGAUUUUUCUUUUUCCCAACUUUCUCCUAUUAUUCAUAAGCUGGUCAACAUGCAAAUUCGAAGCAAAUAAAUGCACAAGUAGCAAGUAGAAUGCAUCAGGAUGGUCUUUUCAUUUCGGGUACACCUGUCCUAGACAGACCCACCCCCUUUGUUGAGUCUCCAAAGUCAAAUGCAUGUGAUGCAAAUAAGCGUUCCUACUAGGGAUCCGGUAUGAGGUUUUGUUAUACUAGGUUUAAAACCUGGGUGUAUUGUUCUAGACUUGGCUUACCCGAGCAGACGGCUCGAGCCGAGGGGGGCAGCGUACCGGGAAUACAGAAGCUUCACCGGCUUUGCAACUUGUACGAGCCUCAUUCUAAAAUUGGGAUAUGACUCUAACAGAAAAGAAGUCACACGAAGUGCACACUUCCCAGAUGAUUUAGAAGACUCAGAGAGAAGAGGGUUUCGUAGCAAUUUAUAUACAGUCCAAACAAUAUCAAAGCGGUAAAAGCGACAUUUAGCAUAUUAAGCUCAACAUGUGAAAAUCAGAUAAAACAAGCCAACUACAACAGUUAUUCUAAGCUUGAAUUCUUAAACCCUAAACCAAACUUCUGGGUUUACUGUCCCCAGCAGAGUCUCCAGAGCUAUCACACCUCUUUUUUACACACCCGAGGGGUAUAUGGGGAGUUUUCCCACUUUAAGUGAUAUUAUUCGAAAUGGGAUUAUUUAUUCAAUUCUUAGAGUCUCCGCUUGGAAUAUUUUAAUUGGUGUUCCAAGUCACCGAUUUAUUUUAAAUCCCAAAUCAUGGAAAUUCGACUUUCCUUUUAAAGUCUGCAAACCAUAUAUUCUAAGUAAGGAAUUCUGUUAACCCGGGAGAAGGUGUUAGGCACUCCCGGGUUCCGUGGUUCUAGCACGGUCGCUUAAACUAUUAUAAUUGGCCUAUUAUCCGAUUUAUUACAUGUUUUAGCCUAUGGUGCAUUUUUAACUUAUUAACCGCUUUUAAUUAUUUUAGGAAGAUUCAACGUUAUUUAGAACAUGCCUUGAACCACGCCACAUGAAAUGCACUCGCGGUUCCCGACACAUUUUAUUUAACGUUGUUGGGAAUUGAAAUUGGGUCACAUGAAAUGCACACCCGAAUUUAAUAAAUAAAGGAAGUCAAUUUAACUAACGCGCCUAAAGCAACUACAAAUUUCAAAUUUAAAACACGGUUUGCGAGGGCCAUGGAAAAUUCAAUUGAUGGCACACCUCGAUUUUAAAGAAUUAGUAUUAAUUAUCCGAGGGCCAUGGAUUAUCUAAUUUUGCACUAUGGCACACCUCACGUCUAAUUUUAAAGGAUGUUUGAACUAAUAUUUUUUGAAGGCCAUAAAUUAUAACUUGCUUAAUAUGGCACGCCUCAAAUCUAAUUUUAAAAGGGCUAAUUAAUUAAAGAAGGCUUAAAGGGAUUUGAAUUUAUUUUAGCCUAAUGUUCAAACCAAUUUAAAACUAAUGGGCUAACAUUAAAGGCAAUCAAGUACUCGGCUGAAGGGGCCUGGACUGACAGCAAUUAAAAGAGAUAUUGUGCCCAAGCAACUGGCCCAAAUACCAUAGGACAUGUGACUCCUAUUUACGGAUGGCCUCAAGUCCGGGCCCAAAAUGAGCCCAAACUUGGUGAGGAGAGGAACACGGAAAGGAACAGGACCCAAGAUCGAGUCCCCUACAGAACAAAGAGACAUUUGGAUCACAAGAGCCUUUGGCUCUAAAUUGCCCCUUCAAUGGCUCAAGCUUCAUUAAACUUACACAGUUUUAGCAAAAUAAACAUGAAAUGCAUUAUCUAAUUAAGUUGCAAUUAUGCAGAAAGUGGAAAUACACUAGAAUUAAUGUCAUAAUUUCGCACACAAUGAUGCUUACUAUGGAUACUUUAAACAGUCAAACUGUAGGUCAAAAUACAUCAUCAUAUGGCUGAACUUGUUCAAAUACAAAACCAAAAUCUAAAGAAAGAAACAGUAAGGACCAAAGAAUAAUUAACUGUAGCCUUACAGUCAAUACCAACUUGAAUACAUAUGAACAGAAACUAGCAAGAAGUUUUCUUCAUCCGAUUUAGGAUUAUGGAACUUCAACAUCAGCUGAACCUUUCUCUAAUGCAAAACAGUAGCAAAAUCCCAUAGGAUUAACAUACAACUAACUUGAAUAUAAGAAACUACAUCAGAUCCUCGGCAGAAUCAAAACAAAGGAACAGCAGUAAUUCAACUUAUAUUAUAUUCACAACAUGAGAAAAGCUAAUAUAACAUGCUUAAGAUUAAACUAUUACAAAAUACUAAAGAAAUGAAGGAAAUAGGGAAAAUAAAACUCCAUAACAGCUUGUAUUCAAUCAUGUUUCGCAUUCGAAUUGCAGAUUUACAAUUCACAUGUUGUCCAUAGUUCAAAAGAUACCUGGAAGUCAAAGAAAAAUAAGGAGAAUGAGGGAUUAGCAGCAGCAACAAAAUCAGUUCAGCAAACCAGCAACAAAAUCAACUUCGUUCAAACCAGUAUGGACCCAGAUGAGCACUAAUCAUUGGAGUUUUUUCAGAAAUUCUAACUAACUAUGACGUUUAAAGGUAGAGUCAAAGCCAAUUUCAACCCAAAAAAGUGCAGGGAAUUUCAGUGUUCUUUCAAGGUUUUAAGACUCAACCGUUUUUCAGUUUUUGGUAUUGUAUUUCUCUAAAAUCUGACUUGAGAAUGAAGUAACAGGCCUUUUAUAGAGGUUUUUCAGGGCUGCAGAAAUGAACUUCAGUUUUUGCUUAUUACUCCUUUUUUAAUUUUUAUUUUUGCUAGUUAGUCCUUGAUUUUAAAAUCUAUUUUUUAAACUAGCCCCAACCCCACUUUCCUAGCAGCUUCCCAAUCAGUUAUACAAGAUUCUCCUUACUUAAUUUCCCUAAACUACCAUUGUAACCCCUAUUAUUUACCCUUAGAACUGGAUACGAGUCAAGUUGACCCAAAUAUCAAUCCCAAAUCAGAUUUGCAAACCCGGCCUAAUUCCCCUCCUUGGGCCUCUGUUGACAGAGCCCAAAUCCCAUUCAAAAACAAAACUCACAAAGUUAAUGGGCUAAACGGAGUUGCCAAAAACCAAAAUACUUUCGAAAUGAAACCAAAAGCAAAAACGAGAAAGAAUUAAUUAAAACUAAGUAUGAGAAUAGAAACUAACAUGCUUUUAACCUAAUCAUGUAAAUAGAAACUGAUUCAAAAACGAAAAAUAAUAAAGAAAAGAAAAGAUGAAACGGAAGGAGAUGAAGACGAGGAGAAGAACAAAAGAACGAAAAAAAUAAGAACGAGGGUACCUACAGAAGACAGCAAACAAAUCAUGGCUUGAAAAAACUAUGAUUUUUUUUUUGAUUUUGAGCCGAAAUUGGCCUCAAUCACGUGUUCUUGUUAAGAACAAACGACCAAGGCCAGUUUCGACUCUUAAUCACUUGUCAAAACUAGAAAAACUCGGGUGAUUUUUGUCUUCUGCUUUUCUUUUUCAGAUCCAAGAUGGGUUUCAUUUGGUGAGGAUUCGAAAGAAUAUGGGGGUAGAUUAGGAAUCAGGGGUGAGUGAGGGUUGUAUGGUCGAAGUUUGGAGAGGAUUCAAAGUUGUUUUGCCGGUGAAAAUGGCGGAAUUCUUCAGGCGACGCUAGGGUUCAAUGAGAGAGAUGAGAGACAGAAGAAGGGGUGUUUGGACUAGGUUGUCUGAUGGGGGUUUGGACAUUUUUAAUAAAAAUGGG